CUUUCCCUCUGGCGGCAUGCUUUACACAUGCAAGUCGAACGGCAGCGCGGGCUUCGGCCUGGCGGCGAGUGGCGAACGGGUGAGUAAUGCAUCGGAACGUGCCCAGUAGUGGGGGAUAGCCCGGCGAAAGCCGGAUUAAUACCGCAUACGACCUGAGGGUGAAAGCGGGGGACCGAAAGGCCUCGCGCUAUUGGAGCGGCCGAUGUCGGAUUAGCUAGUUGGUGGGGUAAAGGCUUACCAAGGCGACGAUCCGUAGCUGGUCUGAGAGGACGACCAGCCACACUGGGACUGAGACACGGCCCAGACUCCUACGGGAGGCAGCAGUAGGGAAUUUUGGACAAUGGGGGCAACCCUGAUCCAGCCAUGCCGCGUGCGGGAAGAAGGCCUUCGGGUUGUAAACCGCUUUUGUUCGGGAAGAAAUCCUCUGGGCUAAUACCCCGGGGGGAUGACGGUACCGGAAGAAUAAGCACCGGCUAACUACGUG
rnacentral:rRNA from 1 species